rnacentral:rRNA from 1 species
CCUACGGGUGGCAGCAGUGGGGAAUAUUGGGCAAUGGAGGCAACUCUGACCCAGCAACGCAGCGUGAAUGAUGACGGUCUUCGGAUUGUAAAGUUCUUUUCUAAGGGAAGAAGAAAGUGACGGUACCGUACUAAUAAGCAUCGGCUAACUCCGUGCCAGCAGCCGCGGUAAUACGGGGGAUGCAAGCGUUAUCCGGAUGUAUUGGGUUUAAAGGGUGCGUAGGCUGUGAGGUAAGUCAGCGGUGAAAUGCCCCCGCUCAACGGGGUGAAGUGCCAUUGAUACUGCCUUGCUGGAAUGCGGAUGCCGUGGGAGGAAUGUGUGGUGUAGCGGUGAAAUGCAUAGAUAUCACACAGAACACCGAUUGCGAAGGAAUCUCACGAAUCCGCGAUUGACGCUGAUGCACGAAAGCGUGGGUAUCAAACAGGAUUAGAUACCCGAGUAGUC